rnacentral:rRNA from 1 species
UACGAAGGGGGCUAGCGUUGCUCGGAAUCACUGGGCGUAAAGCGCACGUAGGCGGUUCGUUAUGUCGGAUGUGAAAGCCCUUGGCUUAACCGAGGAAGUGCAUCCGAAACUGGCGAGCUAGAGUACGAAAGAGGAUCGCGGAAUUCCCGGUGUAGAGGUGAAAUUCGUAGAUAUCGGGAGGAACACCGGUGGCGAAGGCGGCGAUCUGGGGUCGAUACUGACGCUGAGGUGCGAAAGCGUGGGGAGCAAACAGG